CAGCCUAUGUGGUGAAUUUUCUUAGUGGAUUGCUCAGUGGUAAAUAAGAUUUCCUUCUUCAGUCCAGGCAGGACUGUACAGUUGGAAAAGGGAAAGAUGCUGGUCCUGGAAGGGGCCUUGUUAUCUAGAAGCUCCCAACCUAAAUGGGUGACUCAUAGGAAAGGCAAGGAGAGAAGGACAUAGCAAGCAACCUUGCAUGUAAAACAAGAAGUGUGGGUUAUUAUGGAAGAAAUUCACAACCAAACUUGGGGUUAGCCUGUAUUGUUUUCCAAGAACUCUAUGUGGACAGUGACAAAAAACAGACCUAAGAACUAGCAGAUUGGGCAUGGCUUGUUCACAUAACAAAAAAAAGCAAUUCCUCAGAAAAAAAUGGUCAAUGGGUCAUUGUGUGUAGACAAAACUACAAGUUCUGCUCCAGGCUCUGGGGAAACCAUGCUGUCAUCUUCAAGCUGUGGCCAUUCUGUGAUACAGACUAUACUAAAUCGCAUGUUGUCAUCAAGGCAGAAUAUUUUGUUCCUUUAUGGGUCAGCCUGGGAUACAAAAUUAGAGAAAUGUUGCAAUGAAAAAUCCCUUGUGUCUCAUUGAACGUUUUCCUUAAUUCAAACCUUUCCUUCCACAGUUUUGAUUAGUGCCUUUGCCCAUUUGGACAAUAUUUUAUGAUCAGGUUUUAAGAGUAAUCCACCCAUGGCUGCUUGGCUGCCUGGAACUUAAAACAACAACAACAACAAUGUCCAGAUAAACCCAAUAAAAUAGGCUUUUAAAUGU